rnacentral:tRNA from 2 species
GGGUCGUUAGCUCAGCCGGUAGAGCAGUUGGCUUUUAACCAAUUGGUCGUAGGUUCGAAUCCUACACGACCCACCA